UUAAAGAGAGUUUGAUCCUGGCUCAGGACGAACGCUGGCGGCGUGCCUAAUACAUGCAAGUCGAACGAACGGAGGAAGAGCUUGCUCUUCCAAAGUUAGUGGCGGACGGGUGAGUAACACGUGGGCAACCUGCCUGUAAGUUGGGGAUAACUCCGGGAAACCGGGGCUAAUACCGAAUGAUAAAGUGUGGCGCAUGCCAUGCUUUUGAAAGAUGGUUUCGGCUAUCGCUUACAGAUGGGCCCGCGGUGCAUUAGCUAGUUGGUAGGGUAAUGGCCUACCAAGGCAACGAUGCAUAGCCGACCUGAGAGGGUGAUCGGCCACACUGGGACUGAGACACGGCCCAGACUCCUACGGGAGGCAGCAGUAGGGAAUCUUCCGCAAUGGACGAAAGUCUGACGGAGCAACGCCGCGUGUAUGAAGAAGGUUUUCGGAUCGUAAAGUACUGUUGUUAGAGAAGAACAAGGAUAAGAGUAACUGCUUGUCCCUUGACGGUAUCUAACCAGAAAGCCACGGCUAACUACGUGCCAGCAGCCGCGGUAAUACGUAGGUGGCAAGCGUUGUCCGGAUUUAUUGGGCGUAAAGCGCGCGCAGGCGGUCUUUUAAGUCUGAUGUGAAAGCCCCCGGCUUAACCGGGGAGGGUCAUUGG
rnacentral:rRNA from 1 species